CAACAGUCUAUUUAUCCCCCAUUUAUCGAUAAAGGAACGAAACACAGUUGCAGUGAGACCGACAAUCCGUGAACAAGAAACUCAGCAAACUCAGUUUGCCCACAGAGCCGCUUAACCUCGCUGCUGCUGUUCCUCAAGCCCGCUGGUCUUAUUCUCUAAAACUGAGCGGCUUUAGAUCAAGAAAAAGUUAAUCAGACUUGACCAAUGAGCGUUCUCUAACCCAAAGUGAGCUGGGAUGGACUCCAACUCACCCACAACCUUCAUGCAGAAGGGCAGUAUCGAAAAUGGAUGGAUGGGAUCGCAUUUCCUCCAGGAAACUGCAAAUUGUAACCUUAGUUUGUUCAAGCACGGCACAGGAGUUGUCAUAUCUGGGUAUUGUUGUGAGAUG